CUCUCAGGAGAAAAAUCAUGAAAGUUCAAGUUUCUCAAGCCUUCUAGUGUUCAUAUUGAUACGAUUUAGACCUGAUUGGAUUUGCUGCCACGGCAUUUACUGCAUCCAGGUUAAAGUGUUGUUUCUUCAGACCCUUACUUUUCAAGAUAUUAGUACUUUCUGCAACAUCAGCUAGAUUGGAUUUUGCUUACCAGCAUUUCAAAAAG
rnacentral:lncRNA from 1 species